UACAGAGGUGGCAAGCGUUGCUCGGUAUCACUGGGCUUAAAGGGCGCGUAGGCGGUGCGGUACGGUUUCGGUGAAAUCCUUCGGCCCAACCGGGGAACAGCCUCGGAUACUGGAUGUCUCGAGGGGGGUAGGGGCACGCGGAACUUCCGGUGGAGCGGUGAAAUGCGUAGAUAUCGGAAGGAACGCCGGUGGCGGAAGCGGCGUGCUGGACCCCUUCUGACGCUGAGGCGCGAAAGCCAGGGGAGCGAACGGG
rnacentral:rRNA from 1 species